ACCUCCUGUGUGCAUGGAUUA
rnacentral:miRNA from 1 species